GACGAACGCUGGCGGCGUGCCUAAUACAUGCAAGUCGACCUUAGUGGCGAACGGGUGAGUAACACGUGGGUAACCUGCCCAUCAGAAGGGGAUAACACUUGGAAACAGGUGCUAAUACCGUAUACUGAUGGAUGGACCCGGGGUGCAUUAGCUAGUUGGUGGGGUAACGGCUCACCAAGGGCACGAUGCAUAGCCGACCUGGGAGGGUGAUCGGCAACAUGGGGACUUAGACAAGGCCAAACCUCCGACGGGAGGAAGCAGUAGGGAAUCUUCGGCAAGGGACGAAAGUCUGACCGAGCAACGCCGCGUGAGUGAAGAAGGUUUUCGGAUGGUAAAACUCUGUUGUUAGAGAAGCGGUAGCUAACCAGAAAGCCACGGCUAACUACGUGCCAGCAGCCGCGGUAAUAC
rnacentral:rRNA from 1 species